rnacentral:rRNA from 1 species
GAUGAACGCUCGUUGCGUGCCUAAUACAUGCAAGUCGAGCGAACGGACGAGAAGCUUGCUUCUCUGAUGUUAGCGGCGGACGGGUGAGUAACACGUGGAUAACCUACCUAUAAGACUGGGAUAACUUCGGGAAACCGGAGCUAAUACCGGAUAAUAUUUUGAACCGCAUGGUUCAAAAGUGAAAGACGGUCUUGCUGUCACUUAUAGAUGGAUCCGCGCUGCAUUAGCUAGUUGGUAAGGUAACGGCUUACCAAGGCAACGAUGCAUAGCCGACCUGAGAGGGUGAUCGGCCACACUGGAACUGAGACACGGUCCAGACUCCUACGGGAGGCAGCAGUAGGGAAUCUUCCGCAAUGGGCGAAAGCCUGACGGAGCAACGCCGCGUGAGUGAUGAAGGUCUUCGGAUCGUAAAACUCUGUUAUUAGGGAAGAACAUAUGUGUAAGUAACUGUGCACAUCUUGACGGUACCUAAUCAGAAAGCCACGGCUAACUACGUGCCAGCAGCCGCGGUAAUACGUAGGUGGCAAGCGUUAUCCGGAAUUAUUGGGCGUAAAGCGCGCGUAGGCGGUUUUUUAAGUCUGAUGUGAAAGCCCACGGCUCAACCGUGGAGGGUCAUUGGAAACUGGAAAACUUGAGUGCAGAAGAGGAAAGUGGAAUUCCAUGUGUAGCGGUGAAAUGCGCAGAGAUAUGGAGGAACACCAGUGGCGAAGGCGACUUUCUGGUCUGUAACUGACGCUGAUGUGCGAAAGCGUGGGGAUCAAACAGGAUUAGAUACCCUGGUAGUCCACGCCGUAAACGAUGAGUGCUAAGUGUUAGGGGGUUUCCGCCCCUUAGUGCUGCAGCUAACGCAUUAAGCACUCCGCCUGGGGAGUACGACCGCAAGGUUGAAACUCAAAGGAAUUGACGGGGACCCGCACAAGCGGUGGAGCAUGUGGUUUAAUUCGAAGCAACGCGAAGAACCUUACCAAAUCUUGACAUCCUUUGACAACUCUAGAGAUAGAGCCUUCCCCUUCGGGGGGGCAAAGUGACAGGUGGUGCAUGGUUGUCGUCAGCUCGUGUCGUGAGAUGUUGGGUUAAGUCCCGCAACGAGCGCAACCCUUAAGCUUAGUUGCCAUCAUUAAGUUGGGCACUCUAAGUUGACUGCCGGUGACAAACCGGAGGAAGGUGGGGAUGACGUCAAAUCAUCAUGCCCCUUAUGAUUUGGGCUACACACGUGCUACAAUGGACAAUACAAAGGGCAGCGAAACCGCGAGGUCAAGCAAAUCCCAUAAAGUUGUUCUCAGUUCGGAUUGUAGUCUGCAACUCGACUACAUGAAGCUGGAAUCGCUAGUAAUCGUAGAUCAGCAUGCUACGGUGAAUACGUUCCCGGGUCU